UCUCCUGUAGCUCAGUGGUAGAACGUCUGACCGGAGUGCGGAAGCUCAUAGGUUCUACUCCUAUUGGGAGAA